UAAGAAGUGAAGAAAAAAGUCAACAUUGGAUCGAGCUGCUGCUGCUGCUGCUGCGGGGCUGUCAAUACAAAUUGUGCAAGUCGGGACAUUUUGGUGAUGAAGUUUUGACAGUGAUUUCCCAGCACGGUGUGACAAAAUACCAGCUUUACGAAACACCAGAGCAUAAUGUCAACAAACUGGUUCAGAGGAGAUUCGUCUAUGGAGGUCGCCAUUUUUUCAUCGAUGCUUGAUGACGUCAUGAGGUCCGUUCUGUACUGGAAUCUGCAGCGUAAACACAGGAAGGUUAACUUUACCUGAGUGGUUGUUUAUCAUAUUGCAUUUGCCACAUGAAAAAUAGAAGAGAGCCAGAGCCGAACACAACUUCCGAAGGACCUACACUUGUGCCCUCAACAUUUCUCUCCAGAAGACUUUGAGUCAUUUGUAUGAGCAAAACCGACAAAGGCUCUAACAGGCGAUCGUUGCCUCAACGAGCAAAAAAUAAAUGCCAUGCUGAGACAGGUGGAGCUGGAAGCUCUUUGAGAUGCUAACUGAGUUAUACUGCCUCCAGUACUGAAUAGGAAACCACUGAUCCUACCGGACCAAGACUGGACCAUAAACAACUGUUGCCGAACCGGACACAGAGCUAUAGAGCUACUUACCAGAUCACACAGUCUGACUAGAGGUAAGUGUAGCAGCAGCGGCAAAACACCAGUGCCUACGGCCAGCUCUCUCCUCUUCCUCUCUUUGGUCCUCCUCACCUUCAUCACCUCUUGUGAUUCCUACAUUCCGAUCUAUUUCAACGCGUUCAGAUUGAAAAGGCUUAAUGACGUUACUCAUUGCUGUUUUGGCUGGCAGUUUGACCAAUACACAUCAUUUGACCAGAAUGCAUUGCAGCAUGAACAAUGAGGCGACGUUCGUGUGACAAUUUUUUUUUUUUAAAGAUUUU